rnacentral:rRNA from 1 species
UACGUAGGGUGCGAGCGUUGUCCGGAAUUAUUGGGCGUAAAGAGCUUGUAGGCGGUCUGUCGCGUCUGCUGUGAAAAUCCGGGGCUCAACCCCGGACUUGCAGUGGGUACGGGCAGACUAGAGUGUGGUAGGGGAGACUGGAAUUCCUGGUGUAGCGGUGAAAUGCGCAGAUAUCAGGAGGAACACCGAUGGCGAAGGCAGGUCUCUGGGCCGAUAUUGACGCUGAGGCGCGAAAGCAUGGGGAGCGAACAGG